rnacentral:rRNA from 1 species
UACGGAGGGUGCGAGCGUUGUCCGGAAUUACUGGGCGUAAAGCGUGCGCAGGCGGUUUUGUAAGCCCGAUGUGAAAUCCCCGGGCUCAACCUGGGAAUGGCAUUUGGGACUGCAAGGCUGGAGUUUGGCAGAGGAGACUGGAAUUCCUGGUGUAGCAGUGAAAUGCGUAGAUAUCAGGAGGAAUACCGAUGGCGAAGGCAGGUCUCUGGGCUAUAACUGACGCUCAUGCACGAAAGCGUGGGGAGCAAACAGG